rnacentral:tRNA from 1 species
GCCCGGGUGGCGAAAUUGGUAGACGCGUCAGUCUUAGGAACUGAUAUCGCAAGAUGUGAAGGUUCAAGUCCUUUCCCGGGCA